rnacentral:rRNA from 1 species
UACGUAGGGGCUAGCGUUAUCCGGAAUUACUGGGCGUAAAGGGUGCGUAGGUGGUUUCUUAAGUCAGAGGUGAAAGGCUACGGCUCAACCGUAGUAAGCCUUUGAAACUGGGAAACUUGAGUGCAGGAGAGGAGAGUGGAAUUCCUAGUGUAGCGGUGAAAUGCGUAGAUAUUAGGAGGAACACCGGCGGCGAAGGCGGCUUGCUGGACGGCAACUGACGUUGAGGCUCGAAAGCGUGGGGAGCAAACAGGAUUAGAUACCCGGGUAGUCCCUGAGCGGGCUGG